AAGUCGUAACAAGGUUUCCGUAGGUGAACUUGCGGAAGGAUCAUUAGUGAAGAACCCGGAUGACUACGCUUGCAAUCAACAAGCAGGUCUCCAACCCUUCCUAUCCACGCCGGCCAAGGGGUCCUUUAGGGGGCUCUGGAAGUCGAGAGCGCUGCGCUAGAGUGGGGUGCGUACCAGCCGCGACGGGUAACGUUGCGGAUGGAGGCACUGCACUUGCAGCUGCUCGGUCUAAGCAUUGCGCAAGCAAGGCUUACUUUGAAUCAUGUAGUCAUGUAUGUAUAAAGUAGUAUUACUUAAACAUAAUACAACUUUCAGCAACGGAUCUCUUGGCUCUCGCAUCGAUGAAGAACGUAGCAAAUUGCGAUAGGUAUUGUGAAUUGCAUAUAUUAGUGAAUCAUGGAAUCUUUGAACGCAUCUUGCGCUCUGAGGACAUUCUUCAGAGCAUGACUGUUUGAGGGUUGUGUAUACUUCAUCCCCCCUGGUGCUUAACUGCGGCAGGUGCGGGCAUGGUCAGUGGCCUGAGCUGGUUGCAAGUCCGCAAGGACAAGCAACAGUGCCUGGCUGAAAUGCAUGUAGUAGCCGUCUCCAAGAGUCCUUGGUGGUUUCGCAGCGGUUAUGGCGUUAUAAUACGUUUGCCAUUGCGUGCGACUGUCAUGGACAGACGGGAGAUGCAACAGCUCUUAUUAAACACACCUAGUGUAUGAGAGCAAUCUCACAUUUCAACCUCAAAUCAGUUAGGGCUACCCGCUGAACUUAA
rnacentral:rRNA from 1 species